UACGAAGGGAGCUAGCGUUGUUCGGAAUCACUGGGCGUAAAGCGCACGUAGGCGGAUGUGUCAGUCAGGGGUGAAAUCCCGGAGCUCAACUUCGGAACUGCCUUUGAUACAGCACGUCUUGAGUCCGAUAGAGGUGGGUGGAAUUCCUAGUGUAGAGGUGAAAUUCGUAGAUAUUAGGAAGAACACCGGUGGCGAAGGCGGCUCACUGGCCCGAUACUGACGCUGAGGUGCGAAAGCGUGGGGAGCAAUCAGG
rnacentral:rRNA from 1 species